rnacentral:rRNA from 1 species
GGGGAUAUNCAUAUAAGACGAGAAGACCCCAUGGAGCUUUAAACCUGACAGCACCCGCUCAUUCUAUACCCCAUUAUUUGCCCGACCCCUGUCUGCUCAGUUUUAGGUUGGGGUGACCACGGAGUAUAAAAUAACCUCCAUGAAGAAGGGGAUAUUUCCCUUAUUAGAGAACCACACUUCCAAGAACUAAUAAAUUAAUUUUCAAUGACCCGAUACCCGAUAAUCGAUCAACGAACCAAGUUACCCUGGGGAUAACAGCGCAAUCCACCCUGAAAGCCCUUAUUAACAGGUGGGUUUACGACCUCGAUGUUGGAUCAGGGUAUCCCAGUGGUGCAGCAGCUACUGAGGGUUCGUUUGUUCAACGAUUAAAACCCU